rfam:Waddlia chondrophila WST 86-1044, complete genome.
AUUGGUGGUUAUAGAGAAGGGGGUACACCUGAACCCAUUCCGAACUCAGUAGUUAAGCCCUUCAUCGCCGAUGGUACUGCACACAAGAGUGUGGGAGAGUAGGUCGCUGCCAAUU